CGGGUUUUGAGAUUGAGCUUGAAAUACUUGAAUCUUGAUGGGUUUUGGCUGUGAAUGUGUGAGUUUUGUUGGCUAUUUAACAUUUUAUUAUUCAAUUAGAUUUUGAUUUAAUUUGAAUUGAUUGCUUGACCUUUUUGUUAAAUAAUGUUUUGUGUUGUAAAAGAAUAAAAUAUAAACCUGUGGAGCCCACUAACUAUUCAUUACUGUUCAUUACUGUUCAUUUGGCGGCUUUGAUAGAAUUUGUCUGUCACGGGUGACUAUUCAUUACUGUUCAUUACUGUUCAUU
rnacentral:lncRNA from 1 species